GACGUAGGGCGCGAGCGUUGUCCGGAUUUAUUGGGCGUAAAGAGCUCGUAGGCGGCUUGUCGCGUCGACUGUGAAAACCCGAGGCUCAACUUCGGGCUUGCAGUCGAUACGGGCAGGCUAGAGUUCGGUAGGGGAGACUGGAAUUCCUGGUGUAGCGGUGAAAUGCGCAGAUAUCGGGAGGAACACCAGUGGCGAAGGCGGCUUCCUGGCCUGUUCUUGACGCUGAGGCGCGAAAGCUAGGGGAGCAAACGGG
rnacentral:rRNA from 1 species